UACAGAGGUCUCAAGCGUUUGUUCGGAUUCAUUGGGCGUAAAGGGUGCGUAGGCGGCGAGGUAAGUCGGAUGUGAAAUCCCGGGGCUCAACCCUGGAACUGCAUUCGAUACUGCCUUGCUCGAGGACUCGAGAGGAGAUUGGAAUUCACGGUGUAGCAGUGAAAUGCGUAGAUAUCGUGAGGAAGACCAGUGGCGAAGGCGGAUCUCUGGAGAGUUCCUGACGCUGAGGCACGAAGGCCAGGGGAGCAAACGGG
rnacentral:rRNA from 1 species